rnacentral:rRNA from 1 species
AGUGAACGCUGGCGGUAGGCCUAACACAUGCAAGUCGAACGGCAGCACAGUAAGAUCUUGCUCUUACGGGUGGCGAGUGGCGGACGGGUGAGGAAUACAUCGGAAUCUACUUUUUCGGGGGGGAUAACGUAGGGAAACUUACUCUAAUACCGCAUACGACCUACGGGUGAAAGCAGGGGAUCUUCGGACCUUGCGCGAUUGAAUGAGCCGAUGUCGGAUUAGCUAGUUGGCGGGGUAAAGGCCCACCAAGGCGACGAUCCGUAGCUGGUCUGAGAGGAUGAUCAGCCACACUGGAACUGAGACACGGUCCAGACUCCUACGGGAGGCAGCAGUGGGGAAUAUUGGACAAUGGGCGCAAGCCUGAUCCAGCCAUACCGCGUGGGUGAAGAAGGCCUUCGGGUUGUAAAGCCCUUUUGUUGGGAAAGAAAAGCAGCAGGUUAAUACCCCGCUGUUCUGACGGUACCCAAAGAAUAAGCACCGGCUAACUUCGUG